UACGUAGGGGGCUAGCGUUGUCCGGAAUUAUUGGGCGUAAAGAGCUCGUAGGCGGUUUGUCGCGUCUGCUGUGAAAACCCGAGGCUCAACCUCGGGCCUGCAGUGGGUACGGGCAGACUAGAGUGCGGUAGGGGAGAUUGGAAUUCCUGGUGUAGCGGUGGAAUGCGCAGAUAUCAGGAGGAACACCGAUGGCGAAGGCAGAUCUCUGGGCCGAUACUGACGCUGAGGAGCGAAAGCGUGGGGAGCGAACAGG
rnacentral:rRNA from 1 species